rnacentral:rRNA from 1 species
UACGAAGGUGGCAAGCGUUGUUCGGAUUUACUGGGCGUACAGGGAGCGUAGGCGGUUGGAUAAGCCCUCCGUGAAAUCUCCAGGCUUAACCUGGAAAGUGCAGAGGGGACUGUUCAGCUAGAGGAUGGGAGAGGAGCGCGGAAUUCCCGGUGUAGCGGUGAAAUGCGUAGAGAUCGGGAGGAAGGCCGGUGGCGAAGGCGGCGCUCUGGAACAUUUCUGACGCUGAGGCUCGAAAGCGUGGGGAGCAAAC